rnacentral:rRNA from 1 species
GAUCCUGGCUCAGAUUGAACGCUGGCGGCGUGCUUAACACAUGCAAGUCGAACGAGAAAGUUCCUUCGGGAAUGAGUAGAGUGGCGCACGGGUGAGUAACGCGUGGAUAAUCUACCGGGGAGUGGGGAAUAACAGUUGGAAACGGCUGCUAAUACCGCAUACGCUGCAUAUAUAUCUAUGCAGGAAAGGGGGCCUCUGCAUAUGCUUCCGCUUUUCGAUGAGUCCGCGUCCCAUUAG